AAGGAAUGGUGCUUUAGAAAAAGAUUAAUGAAUUGUUUUUAUACCUUACCAGGUGGCGUUUUGAACGUACACAAUACUUAUGGAGUUGAAAGACUACGGGAAGGAGACGUCACAACGAAUAACAUAAUCUCAUGACAGACAGUAUAUAUUUAAAUUUGACCCCAUUGGAAAUGGGCUGGACUCUGGCCUAAUGCUAUUGCUAACACGAACAAAAUUUGUCAUACAGAUAUUUAAUUCUCAUGACAGACAGUAUAUCUUUAAAUUUGACCCUAUUGGAAAUAGGCUGGACUCUGGCCUAAUGAUAUUGCUAACAGGAAAAAAAAUUGUCAUACAGAUAUUUAAUUAUAUUCUUAAAGCAGACACUGGGCUGGAGAAAGAAGACCUCAAAACAGUAAUGGGGGACAGAUGCCAAUGGAAAACCAUCGUGUUUCGGUGACACCACCCGCCUUAAGCAUUGAGGUAGACAACGAAUCCACAAAUAUCAGGAAAGAAUGUCCGGACUCGAUCGUGAAAGGGCAACCGAACUAUUUAUCCAAAAUGUCAAAAAUCACGCAUCCUGCAAAUUUUCUGGAUAUGAAAUUAAAUAAAAUAUACUGUGAAUUUUAUUUAUUUUUUUUAUCUUUUCACUGCAAAAAUCUCAAAAAUAAUGUUAGCAAUAAGUAUUAAUUCUUGUAUGCUUUAUGUUUAUUGAUAUUGUAUUAUUAAUAGAAAAAAUAAACCGUAAUAUUGUUACAAAGAAUAUAGACAUAUGUAACA